AGGACGAUUCAAUCUUGAAU
rnacentral:snRNA from 1 species